GACGAACGCUGGCGGCGUGCCUAACACAUGCAAGUCGAACGGAAAGGCCCUGCUUUUGUGGGGUGCUCGAUUGGCGAACGGGUGAGUAAAACGUGAGUAACCCGCCCCUGACUUUGGGAUAACAUUAGGAAACAGGGGCUAAUACCGCAUAGGAGCUCCUGAUCCACGGUGGGGGUAGGAAAGAUUCGGUGGUUGGGGAUAGAAUCGCUGCUUAUGAGCUUGCUGGGCGGGUAGGUGCUUACAAAGGGUUUGACGGGUAGCCGGCCUGAGAGCGUGACCGGCCACAUGGGGCCUAAGAUACGCCCCAGUCUCGUACGGGAGGCAGUGGGCGAAAGCAUUACGCAGCAACCGCGAGCCAGAGAUAGCGACCCCGCGUGCGGGAUGCCGUGCUACUGGUUGAAAACAGCUUUCGCCUGUGCCGUAGCGUGAUUGACGGUAAUGAGUAAGGAAGCACCGGCUAACUACGUG
rnacentral:rRNA from 1 species